CUUUACUCACAUGUUUCCUACCAGAUUGUGAGCUUCAGGCUUUUGGUUUGUUUAGCUUUGUGUCCUCAAUGACUGCCAUACACAGGUUAAAUAUUAAAAAAAAAGAUUAAAAAUUAGAAAACAAAAAUAGUAAAUAUUAAAAAACAAAAACAAACUGAGUAGUAGCUGAACAACUUGAUGCAUAAACAAGAUUUCUUUAUACAGAUCCUAUAUAAAAGGCAAAUCUUGGUAUGUAGCUGAAGCUAAUCUUCAUGAUAAUAUCAUGAAGAUUAGCUUUACUAUCAUGAUAGUAAUAAGUAUCUCGCACUUGUAUGGCACUUUGGUAUUUCAAAAGUGCCUCCACAUAAUGUGAUAUCAACUAAAGGAUUUUAUAAUGGAGGGAAGCCUAAUGAAUUGCCCAGAGUCAUGAGGCCAGUAAGUGACAGCUGGGAUAGGAACUGAUUUCUGCUCUAAUAAGUAUUGUUCUCUCAGGAAUUAGAAUGUAUGUAUUAUAUCAGGCAUUGUUAUCAAUGCUGUACAUAUAUUAACUCAUUAAUUAUUAUAACAUUAUAGAUACUGUUAUUGUUCUCAUUUUACAGAUGAGGAAAAUAACCUACCUGAGGCACAGAGAAGUUGAAUAACUUGCCCAAGGUCACACAGGUAAUAAAUGACAGUGCUAGAAUCUGAACCUUGGCAAUCUGGCCUCAGUGUCUUCAAAGCAUUAAUUUUCCAUUUCAGCUUAAUAAUAUACAAAGGCUGCUCACAUAUGCUACUGGGGCCUUCUCACUUGUCUUUGUAUUCCCUUGGCAGCUAACAUAAUAGGUGCUUGAUACAUAUUUUCAGGAUAUUGGCAUUUUUAGUAUAUGUCUCUAACCACUGAAUUCUUUGUCAAAGAUCUCCGCUUCAAGAUCAAAAGACCAAUCUACAUCUCCCUUAAUUAAUUAACAAUUUAUUUAUAUAUGUAUUAUGAGUCUGAGGUUCAUUGAUAUAAUUGUUCAAGAAACUAGUGGGUUUCAGAGCAAAUCUCUGGACUUACUGCAUCUCAACUCUGUGCCAGUCACUGACCUCAUGGGACAUGUCAGCCUGAACAACAACAUGCCUCUACGGUCUUUAAAAUUUGCUUGUAAUUUAGUUAAAAUGAUUCAGAGUUAAUAGUGACAAACAUGAACUAUUGAACUCACUGAUAAGUUGGCUAGUGAUAGGAUCAUUGGUACAGACCAAUAUUUCCCAAGAUCUAUCAGCUGACCAUUUGUAUCAAGUCAUCUGCAAUGCUUGUGUACACACAGUUUCCCGGGCUGCACCUCAGACAUUUUGAACUAGAACCUCUGGAGGUGGGUUUCAAGAAGUUGCAUUUAAAACAGGCUUCCCUAGAGAUUCCUGUGCAUGGUAACACCAUUCUCUGCACCCACUACCUCUGCAGCCGUGUGGGCCAGAAGAAACAGGACACUGCGUAGCACAGCAAGGCCCAAUGGGCACAGGGUAAAGAAAAAAACUGAUGGCGAAGAAGAUGAUGAUGAUGACAGCAGCAAGUAGACAUACAGCACUUACUGUAUGCUAGCCAUGCUUCAGUGCGCUUCACAUAAUAGCAACUCAAUUAAUCCUCACAACAACUCUACGCAGCAUACUAUUAUAAUGCCCUUUUUACAGUAGAGGAAAUUGAGGCAGAGAUUUAGCAACUUGACAAAGUUGCAUAGCUGGUAAGUGGUGGAGCUGGAAUUUGAAGCUAGCGUCUGGCUCUAGAGUUCCUGCUCUUAAUCUCUAUGCUAAGGGAACCAGUGGUUCUCAGAGUGUGGCCUCCGGGUCAGCAGCAUCAGCAUUGUCUGGGAACCUGUAGUAAUGCACAUCCUCUGGUCCUAUCCUAGGCCCACUGGUGGGGCUCAAUUGUGUGCCUCCCCCUUCCAAAUUUGUAUGUUGAAGUCUUAAUAUUCUGUAGAUCAGAAUGUGACUAUUUUUGGAGAUAGGGUCUUUAAAGAGAUAAUUAAGUUAAAAAUGAGGCCAUUAGGAUGGGCCCUAAUCCAA